AUUGAACGUUGGCGGCAGGCUUAACACAUGCAAGUCGAACGAGAAAAUGCCUUCGGACAUGAGUACAGUGGCGGACGGGUGAGUAACGCGUAGGAACCUACCUGGUAGUGGGGGAUAACUCGGGGAAACUCGAGCUAAUACCGCGUACGCUCUACGGAGGAAAGAGGGCCUCUAUUUGUAAGCUCUCGUUAUCAGAGGGGCCUGCGUUGGAUUAGCUAGUUGGUAGGGUAAAGGCCUACCAAGGCGACGAUCCAUAGCUGGUCUGAGAGGACGAUCAGCCACACUGGAACUGAGACACGGUCCAGACUCCUACGGGAGGCAGCAGUGGGGAAUCUUGGGCAAUGGGCGCAAGCCUGACCCAGCCAUGCCGCGUGUGCGAAGAAGGCCUUCGGGUUGUAAAGCACUUUCAGUGGUGAAGAAAAGCCAGGGGCUAAUACCCCCGGGUCUUGACGUUAGCCACAGAAGAAGCACCGGCUAACUCCGUGCCAGCAGCCGCCGUAAGAC
rnacentral:rRNA from 1 species